rnacentral:lncRNA from 1 species
GACUCUCAUCUGACACCCUUACAAUGCCACAUAAGACUGUGAUACAACACUACUUAAUGCUCACAACGUGGUGAGAGAUUCAAAUUGUCCUAUAGGCCAACCUCUGCCGUGUGUGUGCAAAUCCCCAGCAUCACAACAGGACGUGUGUCGCACCCUUGGCCUCUUUGGGGUCUGACUUCUCUGGUUUGAGGAAGAUGUGCAGUCUCAAAGAAAAUUAUACAGCUCCAGAGAAGCCAUUCUUGGAAUCAAGCAACUGCACCGGCUGGGAGAAACUUGCCUCAAGUUUGCAUACCUCAGAGAGGCUUGCAUCGAGCCCCCUUCAGCCUGGCAGGGCACUGCUUUACAUGCAGGGUGGUUCAGAGCCUGAUCCAUGCAUCAGGGCUAUCACUUUUUUGCUGUUUCCUUGGAGGAGAUGGAGAAUAUUUGCUGGGUAACAAAUGGUACCCAACAGCCAGACCCCUUCUGCUGCAACUGCAGGCAGCCUUAGAGCCAUCUGCUGCUGCACCAUAUCCCAGCAGCAAAGGUUCCUUUCAGACUGCCAACAGAAUACCCUCAAAAAUGUUCUCAGUUCCACUCCUUCCCUUUGCUGGACCCUGCUGGAUAAGGCAGAAGACAUUAUGAGCAUCAACCCACCUCUGAGUCUGCAAAGACUGAGCAGCAGGAAGAUGGAGGGAAUGGAGAGUGGUGCCAUGCUGUCCCCCCGGUGCACAGACGUGGCUGCGCAGACCGGUGCUCCUUUGGGGACGCUGGAAGGACAGCACGGUUUGGACCUUUGCUUUGCUACAGACUCCCAGGAGUAACCUCGGGCAGCUCAGUUAGGACACGCUGGUGCUUCAUAGUCCCAGAAAGGUGCCCAGAUGGCCUGCACUGGCUGAGGGGAAAAGCUGUAUAGCUGUGUCAGUGCAGCAGCGCGCCCAAGG